UACGUAGGGUGCAAGCGUUAAUCGGAAUUACUGGGCGUAAAGCGUGCGCAGGCGGUUAUGUAAGACAGUUGUGAAAUCCCCGGGCUCAACCUGGGAACUGCAUCUGUGACUGCAUAGCUAGAGUACGGUAGAGGGGGAUGGAAUUCCGCGUGUAGCAGUGAAAUGCGUAGAUAUGCGGAGGAACACCGAUGGCGAAGGCAAUCCCCUGGACCUGUACUGACGCUCAUGCACGAAAGACGUGGGGGAGCAAACGAGGAUUA
rnacentral:rRNA from 1 species